rnacentral:sRNA from 1 species
UCGUAGACCUGCUGCGGCGCGAUCAUGUGGAUGUGCGAGUCGAUUGCGCCAGCGGUGGCGAUCAGGUGCUCGCCGGCAAUCACUUCGGUGCCGGGGCCGAUCACCAUCUGCGGGUGCACGCCGUCCAUGCUGUCGGGGUUGCCAGCUUUGCCGAGCGCGACGAUCCGGCCAUUUUUUACGCCAAUAUCGGCUUUAACCACGCCCAGCACGGCGUCGAGCACAAUCGCGUUGGUGAUGACGAGAUCGAGUGAGCCGGCGGCGCUAGUGGCGCUGGCGCGCUGGGCCAUGCCGUCGCGA